rnacentral:rRNA from 1 species
GGGGAAUAUUGGACAAUGGGCGAAAGCCUGAUCCAGCAAUACCGCGUGUGUGAAGAAGGCCUUAGGGUUGUAAAGCACUUUCAAUUGGGAGGAAAACCUACCGGUCAAUACCCGGUAGCUUGACAUUACCUUUAGAAGAAGCACCGGCUAACUCCGUGCCAGCAGCCGCGGUAAUACGGAGGGUGCGAGCGUUAAUCGGAAUUACUGGGCGUAAAGCGUGCGUAGGCGGUUCGUUAAGUCAGAUGUGAAAGCCCUGGGCUCAACCUGGGAACGGCAUUUGAAACUGGCGGACUAGAGUUUAGUAGAGGGGAGUGGAAUUUCAGGUGUAGCGGUGAAAUGCGUAGAUAUCUGAAGGAACACCAGUGGCGAAGGCGACUCCCUGGACUAGAACUGACGCUGAGGUACGAAAGCGUGGGUAGCAAACA